rnacentral:lncRNA from 1 species
CCGGGGCGUCCGGCGGCCGUCGUCCAAGGGGCUCCGCUCUCCGUGAACUUGUCACUCUCUGGGUCACUCUCGCCCUCUUCAGGGUGGCGGGGUCCCGGCAGCCGCCGGCGGGCAGGAGCAUCCGUUCCCAGCUGGCUCUGCCCGGCGCCCCGUUCGUUGAGAGAAAUUCUGGCACUCUCAGUGGUGCCCGUCGCUCCGCUAACCCUAAAUGCCUCCUUUCAGGUCUCCCCUCGCACCGCAGGUUACGUUACAGCCGGUCUCUGCCGUCGUGUUUUGCCGGUGCCACGCUGCCCCGGCCGGGAGCUGUUCAUUUUAUCAGCGGCGCAAACACCAACUUCAGGCGCACGGAAUCAUCCAGGGGGCAGUCCGUGCCACCUCGCCUGACAGAAAUGAAAGGGACUUCUUUUGUUUUCAAACCCGAGACUUCUAAGAUUUCUGCAUUAACCAACACUGCUCAUUUGUCGGUAGAAUCAAAAUGUCCUUGCCCCGCGGUCGGCCUGCUGAAGGUGGAUCUACCUUUCCGUAGUCGAGAGCAGCACCAGGCGAUGAGAUACGAACCCGUACGUGGGAGGAAUGCAGAGGAGCUGCGAUCUACCGAACAAAAGGCCUCUGCCGUGCCCAAGCGAGCAUCGGGUUUGGGACAGCUGGCGCUGCAGGGGAGCUGGGGACUGUCAGCGAGUGCAGCUCGGCUGAGUCCCGAGCGAGGUUUCCCAACGCGAACCACACGGCACAGCUCUCUAACUGGGACUAUCCUCUUGCUUUGAACUACGCAGAUGUUGAAAGUACAGUGCUGAAUGGAAAUGUCUUCUUAGCAAUUUACCAUUCAUCUUUGUGCGGUGGUGACAGUUCUGUUUGUUUCCCUGACGCACCCAAAUACCACCUUGCUAUUAGUUUUGUUUUUUACUAAACUGAAGAUUAUUAUACUAAUGCUGAUACCAUCUUCUCGUGUAAAGGGAUUUUUUUUCCCUUCGCGCUUCUUUUUGCUCUUCCGAUGAGUUGGGGGGAGGGGUCUUUAAAAUGAAAAUAGCCCUGAACAGUCUGAGUCCAAAGCUGGG